GGUUUAAUUCGAUGAUACGCGAGGAACCUUACCCGGGCUUGAAUUGCAGAGGAAGGAUUUGGAGACAAUGACGCCCUUCGGGGUCUCUGUGAAGGUGCUGCAUGGUUGUCGUCAGCUCGUGCCGUGAGGUGUCGGCUUAAGUGCCAUAACGAGCGCAACCCCUCUCCUUAGUUGCCAUCAGGUGAAGCUGGGCACUCUGGGGACACUGCCACCGUAAGGUGUGA
rnacentral:rRNA from 1 species